CAGUCGCCACGGGAAUACGAAGGGGGCUAGCGUUGUUCGGAUUUACUGGGCGUAAAGCGCACGUAGGCGGAUCGAUCAGUCAGGGGUGAAAUCCCAGAGCUCAACUCUGGAACUGCCUUUGAUACUGUCGAUCUUGAGUAUGGAAGAGGUGAGUGGAAUUCCGAGUGUAGAGGUGAAAUUCGUAGAUAUUCGGAGGAACACCAGUGGCGAAGGCGGCUCACUGGUCCAUUACUGACGCUGAGGUGCGAAAGCGUGGGGAGCAAACAGGAUUAGAUACCCCAGUAGUCCCUGUCUCUUAUAC
rnacentral:rRNA from 1 species